UGGAGCAACCGACCGCCGUUGGAUGGGGUUUCGAAAUUGGAGGCUGGGAUUAGCCCUAUAGCACAGUGCCUUUCAAGGAUCCAUGGCGUCGUUGUGCUCGGCUUGCAAGGCGGCGCUGGCCCCUUGUCGUGUGAGGUGCGUCGUUUUUACAUUUUUCAGGCUAACAGGCGGUGUGAAUGAUCUCGGAAGAUUGUGCACUGACCAUGUUCGUGUUCCAAAGCGAGCAAACUGCUGUUCGGUUCUGAAGGUCAGACUUUGAGGAUAUUGCAGAUCGUGAGCUUGCUCAGCGACAUUCUCGACAGCAUGAUGAAGAAAGGAAUACCUGAUCCGUGCGUGUCUCCUGUUUCUCUGCACUCCCUAAGGUGCAUCAGGUCCUCAACACGUUGUUCGAUCUCUCCCGUCGGGCAAAGGUUUGCUUACCCUUUAAAGAUAUUAAAGAUAAGUGUCUUUCUAAGGAAAUGGACGCUCGCUGGUUUUCUAGGAGAGAAGAAAUGGAUGCUGAUCAGAAAUCUGGGUGCCUGAAGAGGGAAGUAUGGAGUUGUGAUGACGGCGGGAUGGACUGGAGCAAGGUUGUCCAAGCUCCCCUCUCUCGCUAUGCUUGUGGAAAAUUGGAGGACAGUGCUCUUGGAAAAUCAUCGGAGGACAGUGCUAGUGGAAAAUUGGAGGAUGGCACUUAUGGAAAAAUUAUUAGACAGUGGUUGUGGAAGAGAAUUGGAGGACAACACUCUUGCUUCUGGAAAAUCAUCAAAGAACAACGUUCAUGUUUGUGGAAAAGAAUUAAAGGAUGGCAACUACAGCAGAAGUGAGGUGAGUUGUCAAAGGUGAAUUCUUUUUUAAUCUUUUUGGUUUUUCUUUCAAAGUCGCAAGAAAAUAAUGUUCUUUCAGCAUUAACGGGGCAAGAUCUAAUAAGUUUGUUUCUUCAUUAUUAAUUGAUGUGGUUUGUUUUUUAAGAUUUUGUGCGGACUCUUAGCACUUGCCCAAAGAUUUCAGACACGAACGUAAGCUUUUGGGAUCCAAGAUGACUCAUUAUCUUGGGGGAGCCAAAUGGCAUAUGCUCAUUAGGUUGCAUGGUUCAAUGAGGAAAAUGAACGGCUUAUAAAACUCUGGACGAGCCUUUUGUUUUCAUCUUGAAUCCCAAAAGUUUACAUUUGCAUCUGGAAUCUUUGGGCAAGUGAUAAGAGCCUCCGCAAAAUCUUAAGAAACAGACAACAUCAAUCAAUAAUAUAUAUAAUGAAGAAAUAGACUUACUAGCUUUUGCCCUAUCAAUGUUGGAAAAAUAUUCUUCUCUUGCAACUUCGAGAGAAAAACCAAAGAGGUAAAAAAAAAAUUCAUCUCUCACAACUCACCUUACUUUUGUUGUAGUUGUUGUCCCCCAAUUCUUUUUUGUGAACACGAGUGUUAUACUCCGAUGAUUUUCUGGGAGCGAGAGUGCUAUCCUUUUAUUCUUUUCCAUAACCACUAUCUUUUAUAAUUUUCCACGAGUGCCAUCUUCUGAUUUUCCAUGAGCACUCUUAAAGAAAGGCUCCUCAAGACUUACUCGUAGGUUCAAUUAAUCCCCGAUUGGUUUGGUAUGUAACAAAAGAUUUGAAGGUAGUAUUAGUUUCAUA